ACUUAUUUAGUAGAAAUUACAUUGAUAUUAAAAAUCAAAGAUAAGGUUUAUACCCUUUUUAAGUA
rnacentral:tRNA from 1 species